AAGAACAUUGUUUGGUUUGCACGAAAAGGCGUAAGUUCUCAUUGUCAAAAGAUAUUAUAUCUGCACAUUUGCGAUUACACCACGCAAGUGACGAGGGACAAGGUUAUUGAAUAUCUAAAGGUUUAUUCUUGUGUCGACUUUGUAACAAAGCGUCUAACAAAGUGUUUGUUCCUAUGCGUACGUGGCUAUCAAGGAAGUUCAGAUUUUACAACGCCUGGCUGUUUGAAGAAACAACGUAUCACCGAAUAAAGAUCGGAAACAGAUAUAUAGUAAAAUUCAUAUUUGCAAUCCGAAAUGACGGAAAUCAAUGCUAUUAAGGAAGUAAAGCCAGGCGAUGCAAUUAUCUUCCAUUACUGGGGUAUAGAUCAUGAAGGUAUUGUAGCAAGCGUAACAACCGACCCCGAAGACAAAAAACUUGGAAUUGUUCAUGUAAUCCAUUAUGCGUUCAAUUUUCCGAUUACAAGAACAAUCAAAGAGGAGCGAUUAUUCUUUGAUUUAAACCAGCAUAAACUUUCAAAGAAAGUGUAUGAACAUGUGCAGCAAUAUGAUGCAGCGACGACCAUUGAAAGAGCAAGAGCGCGCGUUGGCGAACAACGUCAUAAUGCUUUCAACAACACAUCUCGUCAUUUAGUGGAAUGGGCAAAGGUUGGAAACGAUAGCACAAUGCUUGAAAAUGGGACAUUCCCAGUAAACAACGGGAUAAUGCGAAGGUAUAAUGCAUACAGUUGGCACGACUUAGAAGAAGGCUGCAUAUUCGAUUACUCAUAUUACGGAAUCCGACACCAAGGCGUGGUGACAAAAGUGAAUAUGCAAGACAAUAUGGUUACCGUUGUCCAUUAUGGCACGCUUGGCAUAUUUAGUAGGCGCACCGUCAUGAAAGAAGACGUACCGAUAGACUUCAAAAUGCAGACACUAAUGAUCUAUCGUUGUGAUCCAGCUUUCAAGCAUAAUACACCCGACGAAGUUAUUACAAAAGCCGAACAAAGGAUUGGCGAGCAAAGCUGGAAGAUAAUGAGUAACUCUUCAUGGAAAUUCUGCCUACAUUGUCUUUUUAAUUAACCACAAAUUUAUUAUUUGUGUUUGUAGAAAACCAUUCAAGUGUCAACAUCGUAUGAAGAACACAGUCAAAUUCCAAUGACGUAAGAUAUUCAGAAAAACACCUGAAACAUUUUUUUGUAUUUACCAAACUUAAUUAUCAUAGUAUUUGCUUCAUGACAUUGUGUGUGUCUUAAAGGGCAAUUGUAAGAAGAAAUUAAAAUAGUAAAAAUUUUAAGCAGAUAUAGAUCAACUUCCUCGUGUGAAACAUGAAACGUUGAAAUAGGUGAGUUCAAUCAACGUUCUGCGGGAACGCGUAUGAAAUACUUGCAAACUUUUUCGUUAUCGAGUAUUAAUGUGCAAGAGGCGGUUGACGCAAACGUUAAACAGAUACAGUACUCUUAAAUUCAUUUGCGUGUUUAUAUGCUUUUAAACUGUUUGGUGGCAUACAGACUAAUUUACAAAUCUUGACAACGAUUAUAAACGAUUCAAUACAUGUGUUGUGAGUGUUCUGACUAGAAGAGUAUGUGUGACCAAGUAAUCUCAUGCACAUGGUUAUCAAAUAUAAGAUAAUGUAUCCUGUAUGAAUGCUACACGAUUUUAGCGAUUUUAUCUUAAUCUUAAUUUAGACAAAAGAAAGCUGUCAUUAUAUGGAUGUGAUCGACUCACUUUAAAAGUUGAUAUUAAAAGCAGAUAAAACAGUCAAUACACUGUGUUUUAUUUUUAUAUGUUUCUGAUAGAGUGUUUAUGAUAUGCUAGUGUGCUAAUGUAAUGUAAGGUUGAUGUAAAUAAAUUUGAGUAAUAUCCGUAAAUAUAUAUUGUAGACGAUG